rnacentral:pre_miRNA from 1 species
UUUUAUGAAUAGGCAAAGAAAGUGGCUUCUUGAGAUAGAAUCUACUCUUGGUAAAGAUGCUAUGAA